AUUUGCCCCCAUUCUGCGCGUGUUGGUUAUCGUGGGAAGGACGGCUGGAUGUACGCAUGUUAGCCAUCUGGGAGGGGAAUGAAGUGUUGGUAAUGGUGCAAGCAUAUGUUCUCUUUGAGAUCUCUCGAGCUCUCUUAAAUGUUCCAAUAACUUUUCCAUUUGCUUCCUAUUAAUCUCAACCUGAAACCAACAAAUCCCAAAAACCCUCAAGCCCUCCAACAAAAUCGGAAAAAACACCAUAUUUGCCCAAAAUUUUGAAUUUUCUCAGGAGUUCUCACCCAUUCCUGAGAUUUCUUUGGUGGGUUUUGGUUCUCUGGUCCCGUAAGGGCUUUGGUAGCGUAUGAAGAUCGAUGACAGUGAUCGGAGUUCGUCACAUGACAUUGUGGUUGAUCACAUCCUGAGUUUUCCGACUGAUAUAUUCAAUCCUAUCGGUCCUGAUUUUGUCCCUCCAUAGCAUUUGCAGCACCAUCUGCCUUGCUCUCAUCAGAGCUUGGCCUUCAGUUCCUCAGGUAAAGUUUCCACCUUUUUUUUCAGGGGCAUAUUUGGUUUGUGCAGAUUUCAUUUGAACUAAUUUGGGUUGUGCAUAUUUGGUAUGAUCUCUUUGGGUUGCAUAUUUGGGUUGUGCAUACUUUUGCAGUUGUAUUUACUACUGUCCAAAAGAGUACAACAAAGGGGUCAAUUUUCUCUUGGAAACACCUCAAGCUAGGAACAAGUCGGGUAUCCUCUUGAAAACAUUGUUUAGCAUGUAGCAAGCUUUGUUUGACUGAUAUACUCUCAAUAUUGCAUUUGUAAUUUUUUCAUUGGUCCAACCUUUUGAAUAAACAAUUACCUCUUCUUCGGACUUUGAAAAAAUAGAUUUGUACUUUUUCUUUUAGUAUCUAAAUUUGUUCCGUUCA